CAUUUUACUGGUAUGUUCUUUGAACAUCUACCACAUGGGAUGACUGCAAUAACUUGACCCUGCUCCUGGAAUUAUGUUGGGUACAGGGGGUCAGAGCGAGGAGGUGAUUGAAAGAUGCCCACAUCCAUUCAUUCAGUGAUCAGGUAUACAAACGCUAGACAGAUGUGAUUUCUGCCUUCAUGGAGCCCAGAGUGCAGGAGGAGAAGUGAGCCGGUAGUCAGCAACUGUCGUGAUAAAGAUACUGAACCGAACGGGAGGCUAGAGGGUCUUCCUGGAGCCACCUCACCCUACCGGGGUAUCAGGGGAGACUUCCAAAGAAGGGCUGUGUUGGGAACUUGGCUGAGACUUGAGGGAUGAGUAGGGUUUAUUCAGGCAGAGUGGAUAAAGCACCAUAUAGAGGGUGCAGCCCUUUCCAACUAGUUGUAUCGUCUAACAAAAGCCACAGGGCCUACCUUGUAAAACCCAUCACCCCAGGACGGUAAGUCUCAGCCUCCAUGAAGCGUUUUUAAACAUCUUAAGCCAGUGACCAAAUAUAAAAUUGUUUACUCUUAUCAUGACUAAAUUCAUCCAUUUGAUGGCCUUAGGUGGCUAAAUUUUGGGUAGAUCUGUACAACUAAGAAGCUAGUCUAACAGUUUGAGUCUUUAGAAAACACCAAUAAUUUUUGAGCAAAGUUUUGACUUAUAAUAUAUUUCAAAAAUUUGUUUGGUUAGCAGAUUGCUUUUCUUUAACAAGAAGCAACUGGAAAUAAACUAUUUUCCAAGCCCAAAUACAUUUUAGAGGCUUUUGUCAAAACUGUGGAGUUAAUAUAAGGUCUUGGGGCUGGACCCAGGCUGAGACUCUUACUCCACAUAGGAAGACAGACAAGUUCUGUACCAACAAUGUGUUGGAAUUAUACACAUCCACACAGUCUUCCAAAUAACUUCAAACUCAGCAACUCUGCAGACAGUGGGCCAGCUUGGGCACAACUGCAAUAACUCAGCCUCACUCUGCGGACUGCUCUUCCUUUCCCAGCCGAUGAAUGCCUGCCCCUUGCCCCGCAGUUCUUACCACUGGCCUAACAGGGAGAAACUGCCUGUCUGGAAGGGAUAGGUGAACAGUCUUUACUGAUGUCGCACCUCCUGAAAGCAGAGGGUGACAGGAAGACUGUCUGAAUGACACAGUCCUGUUCUUGCAAUUCCAACCCUGAUCUCCAUGGGGUCCUGGGCUUGGCGCGAGGCUGUCUUGACAUCUUUUAGGCUGCAGUCGUGUGAAUGAAGGCUUGUUUCCACAUAUUAUCUGUUCUUUUUGGCUACCACUUUGCUCUACAAGCCCCCUUUGGGUCAGGGAACUUGAAUUAUUGAAAUAAUAAAUCACACCAAAAUCCAUCAUUUGUGCCGGAAAUGAGGCUCAGCGUUUGCAUUUACUGAUAUGGAUUUUUCCACCUGGGCUUGACCUUGGGCUGCAUUUCUACUUUGUGAGUCAGAAUACCUAAAUGUUUGCCAGCCUCAGGGCCUGCUUUUCUUACAGGUUCUUUGGGUGGAAAAUAAGACGGGACGUUACUGAUCCUGUUUUACCUCUCAAAUGACCUGCGAAAGGUAAAGACGAACCAGGCAGCCCGUAAGAAACUGGGGGUACUGGCCUGGUGGCUGUUCUUCUUGGUUGAUAUAUUUCUACUAGAUUUUAAGAAACUUGGCUUGCUAAUAUGACCACAGAUAUUUAGAUUGCAAAAUGUAACAGAAAUAUAACCAGAUAUAUGUAUAUCUAUAUACUCUAAAUCUAAACCUACAUCUGUACCUUUAGUAAUACCUAUGUCUAUGUUUGCAUUGAUAGUCACGUCAAUACCAAUAUAGACAUAGAAUACAUGUGCAUGAGAAUGCAAGAGGGCAGGGAGGAGAAAAGCCACAGAGAUGUUUGGGAUGAAAUUGCAUUCUGAGCAUUGGAAAGUGAAGCUUGAUUUUUGUUUUUCGCUUUUACUGUUUUCAGAAAAUUGUCAAUGUGAAUUCAAGGGUGAUUGGAGGCCUCUGUUUAUCCAAACCGUGGAUUUUGGAGAAUCAUUAACAGGUGAACUGGUACUGAGAAGCCCAGGCUUUGAGCCUCUGCCUGUUCUCACCUGGGUGUAGGUGAUGGGCUAACAGGACUUCUCAGGUCUGGAUCCAGGUACACCAGAUUGACAGCUGUACUGUUAGAAUCAGUUUGGGUUCUUUCUUUGCGUGUGCCCCUGUCAAACCCCCCAGCUCAUGCCAAAUCUUAAGCCAAUGUGAAAUGGGGGGCUUGAAGAUGCUGGUUUGUUUUGUUUUUAUUCCUGGUAUCCUUAUCUUCUUAAUUUUCUCUUCCUCUCUGUAAGCAACUUAUUGCUCAAAAAGAGGUAGAACAAGAAAAGGAUGAGUAUUUUAUGCCUUGUCCAGGUUCACCUAGCAGAUGAAAGUCUUUAAUAUCACGAUGUUCCUGCCUCAAGGGAGGCUGUGAGUCAGAAGUGUGUGUAAAGAGAAGAGGAAGGAGAGUAGAGGAUUUACAGUUUAAUCUGUAAAUGAAUACGCGUAGUGUAUGCUUUAAAAAUACUGUGAGGAUGAGUAUAUGCGUUUCAUAUGUAUAUGAAAUGCUUAACUCAGUAUCAGCACAUGGAAAGAGCUAACACAGAUGGCAUGUGGUUGUUGAUGAUAGUAAUUGACGAGCCCUGUUGCUGUUUGGUUUCAGCUGGUUUGGAGAGCUGGAACCUCCCCACGUCUCUGCAUACUCACUUUCCCACUCGCUGCUGGUGGCAUGGUGUUAGAUCAUAGCUCACUUGGAAACUGAGUUCAAAACCUGAUUUCUCAGCUUUCCUUAUUUCUGUCCUCCGUGGAUAUCCACUGUUAGGUCUCAUGCCUGCCCACAUUGUGAACUAUGUCAAAUCUUUGCCCCCGCGAGCAACUUCUACUCUACUACCGCAAUCUGAUCUGCUUUUUACUAUUAUUGAAGAGGCUUACGUGGUAUUGCUUGAACAGACUCUUCUAGAAGCUUUGCAUCCCUUGGCCUUCUCCUAUCAACCCCUCUUUAACUGGUCACCUAGGAACUGUCCUUCAAGACUUGGAUUCCAAUUUGCUUUGGAAAUGUAUUCCAAGGAAUGGGUGAGAUUUUCGGGGGAGCACCGCCUGUGAAUAAAACAAAGAUUCAGCCGCGAUAGCCAGCCACAAACGAUUGUAAGUUGUUUACGAAGAUAAGAGACAAUGCUUGGUUUUUAUCUGGUGCCACAGAAACGAUGUGACUCAGAGCCCUGAGCAGGGUUUGGGAUGGCGCUGAGCACAAGGAGGACACGCAGAUGGAUGCAUUAUCUUCUUUCACUCAGCAGACGGACUUGGAGCAUGGUCUUUGAUCUGGAAUAUUUUGGAUGGGAGACAAAGUAUUGGGAUGAAAUCUAAAAGUUUGUAUACACAGGACUUCUUCCAGUGCUCUCAGCCAAAGCCAAUACCCAGCCACGGCUAAAUCAUUCUAAUGAUGUGGGGAGAAGCAGCCAAGCAUCUCCAAAGUGCUUGUUCCCUGGGCCUUGAUGUGUUGCUGCGACAGCCGUCCUUCACCAGAUAGACACAUCCCAGGUGAUGGCAGGUGAUACCAGCCUGGCUGCAUUCCACACAGGGCCAUAGGCUCCAGCGUCCCACAUCAGCAAUGCAGUGUGUUCAGAUGACCGAGACCCAAUGACAAGCCCUGAGUGCAGUCACCCGCAUCAUUUCUGUCAUCAUCUACUGUGCCAGUGGAUCCUUAUGUUGGUCAACACGUCUGCAUAAGAAACACCUCGUGACGAAUCACAGGUGAGUAUUUGACUCCAGAGGCUGAGCUAUUCAGAGGCUCUGAUUAGGAUUAUUGGACAAGAUUCUAGACCUUUUCAGAGAUUGAUGCUUAGUUACUAUUCCAGUGAGCUGAUUAUAGGAUGUCAAAGUCCAUUGGCAAUAUCUCCAUAACUUAUGAACUUAGCACAGUUCAACUGGUGACAGUUUUGGAAAUACUUUUACCAUAGAAUUAACCAGAAAUUUCAGCUUUUAAAGACAUUUUUAUUGCUUUAUGGAACUAUAUGGAUUUGUUUAUAUUCAUUGGCCAUCCAUUUAUUUAUUCCAUAAACAUUUAUUAGAUACUUCCAAAAAUAGGCCAUUCUGACCUAUUUUUAUCAAACAAACAUUGUGUUUAUACAUCCACAACUUUUAUGAAGACUUUAAUUUUUUGGGAAGCAAUCAUUUCAACAUAUUGAAACCAAAAAAAGGGAAAGCCUCAAAAACAUAUCCUUUAUCUUCUAGUAAUGCUUUCUUGAUAUUUGGCACUAAUAGAAAUGACCUUUAGAUUCUGUGAGUGCCCCUUAGAUAAUAAAGAAAAAAGAUUCGUAAACCCACAGCUAUAUUCCCUACAUGGAGGAUUUAGAUAUUUUUGCAUUUUUAUUUCAAUAACUUCCCUAAGGUGAUGCCAUAUUUACUGUGCCAAAAGUUUCAUUUUCAAAUGAGAUAUCUUGUAUGUGGUAAAUCUCAUUGUUCUUCCCCCCGCCGAGAUGGAGUUUCACUCCAUUCUGGGGUGAAGUGGUGUGAUCUUGGCUCACUGCAACUUCA